rnacentral:rRNA from 1 species
AACGAACGCUGGCGGCAUGCCUAACACAUGCAAGUCGAACGAGACCUUCGGGUCUAGUGGCGCACGGGUGCGUAACGCGUGGGAACCUGCCCUUAGGUUCGGAAUAACUCCCCGAAAGGGGUGCUAAUACCGGAUAAUGUCUUCGGACCAAAGAUUUAUCGCCUUUGGAUGGGCCCGCGUUGGAUUAGCUAGUUGGUAGGGUAAAAGCCUACCAAGGCGACGAUCCAUAGCUGGUCUGAGAGGAUGAUCAGCCACACUGGGACUGAGACACGGCCCAGACUCCUACGGGAGGCAGCAGUGGGGAAUAUUGGACAAUGGACGAAAGCCUGAUCCAGCAAUGCCGCGUGAGUGAUGAAGGCCUUAGGGUUGUAAAGCUCUUUUACCCGGGAUGAUAAUGACAGUACCGGGAGAAUAAGCUCCGGCUAACUCCGUA